rnacentral:ribozyme from 14 species
CAAGAUCUGAUACAAGAUAAUGCAGAGUUCGACCACCCAAUUUUGGACCCUCUUUAUACCUCUGCUCAUGUCAUUUUCAUUUUUCUUUCUUUUUCUUUCUUUUCUUUUCUGAAGAGAGAUGCACUGAGAAGUGACAUAUAAACUUGAAAUGAGAGGGAAAGUGCAAACAUUG